rnacentral:rRNA from 1 species
UACGGGGGGGGCAAGCGUUGUUCGGAAUUACUGGGCGUAAAGGGCUCGUAGGCGGCCAACUAAGUCAGACGUGAAAUCCCUCGGCUUAACCGGGGAACUGCGUCUGAUACUGGAUGGCUUGAGUUCGGGAGAGGGAUGCGGAAUUCCAGGUGUAGCGGUGAAAUGCGUAGAUAUCUGGAGGAACACCGGUGGCGAAGGCGGCUCUCUGGACGGUGACUGACGCUGAGACGCGAAAGCGUGGGGAGCAAACAGG